CCAAGUGGGAAGGGACCCUCGCGGACCCGACCUCAAAACCCCUGUGUAUCAAACCACGUUGCUUCGGGGCCCUCCAUCCCUCGGAUGGAUCCCCGGGGGAUCAUGAACAACUCUGCGUUGAACAAGCGUCCGAGUACGAAAACAAAUCAAACCA
rnacentral:misc_RNA from 1 species